AAUCAGCUGACUACAUUAACCUCAAAUUCAGUAGAAGGACGGCGAAUUACACCUGCUCUGUCAAGAAUUUCUUGAUGGCAGGGCGAGCAACUCUUGUUGUUUUGAAGAAUUCGUGUGGAUGUGCUGAUUUCCUGAGAGAGAAAUGACUGAAAGCACCAUUUUAUUUGUAUACCAGGGCGAAUGGGGUCUUCCUUCGAUUGACUUCGACUGUUUACGGGCACUGUGUGCCGUCAAAUUUACCAGGGCUCCGAUUGCAAUCAACACGAAAGGGAACCCAUUUCGUUCGGGCGAUGGACGAUUGCCAUAUAUCCAGGCCUACAAGCGAAAGAUUGUAGGGUAUGAGCAAAUUAUCAGUUACUUACAAGAACAAGGUUACACUGUGAACGACCAACUACCUCGUAAUGUCAGCAACUUGGCGGAAGCUUAUGAGAGCCUUGUGUUCAACGAUCUGCACCCAUAUUUCCAAUAUUUCAUGUUCGGUAGUCCAGACAACAUCGAUCAAAGCCGCAAACUCUACGCAAACAGAACUCCUUUUCCUUUGAACUUCUACUACCCUGCAAAGUACAUGAAACAUGCUGAUGAAGUCAUGCAAGUCUUUGGCGGGUUCUCUGUACACGAAAAAAUCGAGGACCAUUCUACGGAAAUGAUCAUUAUAAAUGCCAAAAAGUGUGUAAACCUCCUGUCUUCUAAACUUGGGAAAAACAAAUACUUUUUCGGUCAACAUUAUAGUUCGCUGGAUAUACUAGUAUAUGCCUAUUUGGCAAUACUAUACAAUAUAACGUUACCCAAUAAUCCUCUCCAAGUACAUCUGCAAGAAUGCCCGAAUCUGGUCAAAUUUAUCGACCGCAUUACAAAGCAACAUUUUGCAGCUGAAGCUUAUUCGAGCAAGGACGCAAAACAAAAGGUUGAUGGCAACUCUACUGCAACAUUAACUCCCUCCGAACAGGAAUUCGCUAAAACGAAACGUAAAACGCAAAUUCUCGCCACACUUUUUGCAGUCGUCGCGAUGACUGCAUAUGCAACUUGGAUGGGAAUAGUUAAGAUAAAUGCGGAUUCAUACUACGAUGAUUUGGGCUAUCGUGAUGAUGAUGACGGAGAUGAGGGUUAAAUUAAUUUGGAAGUCUGAUUUUUGUUGGUUUUUAUUUUUGAGUAUGCAUUUAGUAGAAGAUAAAUAUAUAUUCAGGUCGGACUGGAGGAAGGAAAAGGACUUUACUACUGCUUACCCUAGCUAUCCAGUACGAAAUAAGUAAAAAACCUGCCGAAAGGUACCAACUCUAAGCAAAUCAUACUUUACAAGGAUAAGAUCAAUAUUUUAUCACUUUCGCCCAAAUCCGUUGAAGAAAACAAGAAAUAAGGCAAGUAAGACAAAUCAACGAAUUGAACAGCGAGAAUCAUCACUCCAGUGGAUGAAAUGUAACAUUUGAUAAAUAUAGAAAAUGUGGACAUAUACAUAUAAUAUUUAGACAUAAAAGAUGUACACUAGACUGCCGAAAUAAAAUAAAGAUUACAGUUUGCUU